rnacentral:sRNA from 1 species
UUCUGCAUUUGUCUCUUUUUUAAUUGUUUUGUGUUUCAUAAUAUAUUAAUUACGAAGGGGUGCGUUUUAGUUGAAAUUACAAAAACAUGCAUGAAUUUCAGUUCAACCCAUACAUUCACAUUUGUGUGUACACAUGCUCGUAAGCAGCUGAUCAAUUGUUUAAUGCCAUAUUAUUUUUUUAUGUAAAUGGCAACAUUUUGGCCGAAGAAACCUAAAAAAAUCAAUCUUGUCAAACCACUGAAAGAACGAUUUUCGGACAUUUUUCCGUAAAAAUUUACGUAGUACCAGCCUUAAGGUGUUGUAAGCCAAUGGAUUGGGAACCUUCAAAAGCUUUCAGCGGAAAAAAUGGCUUUUAUCUCCAACGAUGAAAUUGUGUCCAAGGCGGCACAAGUUAAGCUUGAACGCAGAUCAUGGAACUUCUCCAGGUAACUUAAAUCCGUGCGGCUGUCGACAAUUGUUGAUCACAGUGAGAAGAAAUUCGGCCAAUCAGCAUAAGCUCACCAAACUUCAGCAACUGUAUCUCAGGUAGGCAUGUUUUGCGUGUCGAAAAUGAAGUUUCGGCAAAUGGACUGCCAUCAACAGAAAAUUGGCGCACCGUUGAUAAACGUGGAUUUGAUUCCAAUCUCCGGAUGGAACUCAUCUGUCGAGUCAAUUUGAUCUGACAUCCAGAUACAAGGCGGUAAACUUCAUCCGUUCUUCACUUUCUAUUUCGGCCGUUACCAUCUCCUCCAACGCUGAAUAAGUCUCUUCGAAUAAGGCGUUUAACUGCUCCACAUAGUCGAGACGGACGUACAAAUCUACAUCAUCAUAUUCACCAAGCUGCGUCGGCGUAAGGGAUUUUUUCAACACCUCCAACUGCUUUAGCAUUGAUGCAAUCCUUGUCAUGGGGUAAUACAUUUUUUGAAUUUACACCAUCACUUGCGUUGCAGAGCAUACUGCGUCUGGUAUAUUUCCUUUUUUUAGCAACUUCACGGUAUUUCACAAAAGACUUUAAAAAAUUAAAGAAAUUUUAUCCGA